CGAGCGUCGGGGCGGCGGCGCGCACGGCGUCCGCGGUGCCGCGCUGUUCGGUCUGGACGGCGUAGUCGAGUUCCACGCCCGCGUGCUCGUC
rnacentral:tRNA from 1 species